GAUCCUGGCUCAGGAUGAACGCUAGCUACGGGCUUAACACAUGCAAGUCGAGGGGCAGCAUUUUAGUUUGCUUGCAAACUAAAGAUGGCGACCGGCGCACGGGUGAGUAACACGUAUCCAACCUGCCGAUAACUCAGGGAUAGCCUUUCGAAAGAAAGAUUAAUACCUGAUGGCAUAGGAUUAUCGCAUGAUAAUCCUAUUAAAGAAUUUCGGUUAUCGAUGGGGAUGCGUUCCAUUAGUUUG
rnacentral:rRNA from 1 species